GGAGAGGUGGCUGAGUGGUCGAAAGCGGCAGAUUGCUAAUCUGUUGUAUCCUUACAGGAUACCGAGGGUUCGAAUCCCUCCCUCUCCG
rnacentral:tRNA from 1 species